AAAUGGUAUGAAAUUGCAACUCUUGUGAAAAUGGAUCCUCUCAGCUGAGACUCUGAUUUUCACAUAACUCCUACUUUAUGCUACUGUUUUGGAGCUACAGUGGUUUAUAAUUGGAGAUGUUGUUUAUAAUGGCUUGAAUAGUUUUGUGAGCUUCUGCUUCCAAAGUAUACAAUGAAAGUAAACGAAAAUCAAUACUAAAUUAAUUGAAAGGCUUGUGAUAAAUUCAUAAGAUGAUGGAAGCUCCUAACUCAAUACCAGAAACUCUCUCAGCAAACUUCAAACUGCUACUUGCAAAGCAAGGCCUGUAGAAAUUAAGAAAUGAAGAACGAUGAUUUUACCAAGGGAAGAUUGCAGAAGUUGAGUAAGCUUGCUAUUUCUGUAUGGCACAUGAGCAUUCUUUUGAGCAAGAG